rnacentral:lncRNA from 1 species
AUGAUUUGGGCCAAGCCAAUCUCGCUGAGCUGCCAAUCAUCUGGAAAGAUGCGAGCACAGAGAGGCAAGAUUGCACAGUGGCCUCAUGCCGGACACCAGGCCCUGGACUCCAGAUUUUCCAGGAGCCUAGGAUGCUUUUCAUCUUCUCUCAUCCCUCACAGCAUCUUCUCUUACGGUGAUGAACUCAAGUUCACAGACUUCAUCUUUUGCAGCCCUCAGCACCCUGUGAGGAGUGAGGGGCGAGGGUAG